rnacentral:rRNA from 1 species
UACAGAGGUCUCAAGCGUUGUUCGGAUUCAUUGGGCGUAAAGGGUGCGUAGGUGGCGUCGUAAGUCGGGUGUGAAAUUUCGGAGCUUAACUCCGAAACUGCAUUCGAUACUGCGGUGCUUGAGGACUGGAGAGGAGAUCGGAAUUCACGGUGUAGCAGUGAAAUGCGUAGAUAUCGUGAGGAAGACCAGUUGCGAAGGCGGAUCUGCUGGGCAGUUCCUGACACUGAGGCACGAAGGCCAGGGGAGCAAACGGG